GUGAGGAAUAUUGGUCAAUGGACGAGAGUCUGAACCAGCCAAGUAGCGUGCAGGAUGACGGCCCUCCGGGUUGUAAACUGCUUUUAGUUGGGAAUAAAAAAGGCGACGCGUCGCCUAUUGUAUGUACCAUCAGAAAAAGGACCGGCUAAUUCCGUGCCAGCAGCCGCGGUAAUACGGAAGGUCCGGGCGUUAUCCGGAUUUAUUGGGUUUAAAGGGAGCGUAGGCGGAAGAUUAAGUCAGCGGUAAAAUCGUGCGGCUCAACCGUACCUCGCCGUUGAUACUGAUUUUCUUGAGUGUACACAGGGAUGCUGGAAUUCGUCGUGUAGCGGUGAAAUGCUUAGAUAUGACGAAGAACUCCGAUCGCGAAGGCAGGUGUCCGGGGUACUACUGACGCUGAGGCUCGAAAGUGCGGGUAUCAAACAGGAUUAGAAACCCUAGUAGUCC
rnacentral:rRNA from 1 species